CAGUAGCCGCGGUAAUACGAAGGGGGCUAGCGUUGUUCGGAUUUACUGGGCGUAAAGCGCACGUAGGCGGAUCCUUAAGUCAGAGGUGAAAUCCCAAGGCUCAACCUUGGAACUGCCUUUGAUACUGGGGAUCUCGAGUUCGGGAGAGGUGAGUGGAACUGCGAGUGUAGAGGUGAAAUUCGUAGAUAUUCGCAAGAACACCAGUGGCGAAAGCACUCUGCUGGGCCGACACUGACACUGAGAGACGAAAGCUAGGGGAGCAAAUGGGAUUAGAUACCCCAGUAGUCCCUGUCUCUUAUAC
rnacentral:rRNA from 1 species